rnacentral:rRNA from 1 species
UCCUACGGGAGGCAGCAGUGGGGAGUAUUGCGCAAUGGGCGAAAGCCUGACGCAGCCAUGCCGCGUGAGUGACGAAGGCCUUCGGGUUGUAAAGCUCUGUCCAGGGGGACGAACAUCCUGUGUGUUAAUACCACACAGGCCUGACGGUACCCCUGAAGAAAGCACCGGCUAACUCCGUGCCAGCAGCCGCGGCAAUACGGAGGGUGCAAGCGUUGUUCGGAAUCACUGGGCGUAAAGCGCGUGUAGGCGGUGCCGCAAGUCGGGUGUGAAAGCCCUGGGCUCAACCCAGGAACUGCGCUCGAAACUGCGGUGCUUGAGUACGGGAGAGGGACGUGGAAUUCCUGGUGUAGAGGUGAAAUUCGUAGAGAUCAGGAGGAACACCCGUGGCGAAGGCGACGUCCUGGACCGAUACUGACGCUGAGACGCGAAAGCGUGGGGAGCAAACAGGAUUAGAUACCCUGGUAGUCCACGCCGUAAACGAUGAGUGCUAAGUGUUAGAGGGUUUCCGCCCUUUAGUGCUGAAGUUAACGCAUUAAGCACUCCGCCUGGGGAGUACGGCCGCAAGGCUGAAACUCAAAUGAA